UACAGAGGGUGCAAGCGUUAAUCGGAAUUACUGGGCGUAAAGCGUGCGUAGGCGGUUAUGUAAGUCAGAUGUGAAAGCCCCGGGCUUAACCUGGGAAUGGCAUUUGAGACUGCAUAGCUAGGGUGCGGAAGAGGGAAGCGGAAUUUCCGGUGUAGCGGUGAAAUGCGUAGAUAUCGGAAGGAACACCAGUGGCGAAAGCGGCUUCCUGGUCCAGCACCGACGUUCAGGCACGAAAGCGUGGGGAGCAAACAGG
rnacentral:rRNA from 1 species